GUGUCCUGUCCCAAGUGCAGCUGCAGGAGUCUUGCCCAGGGCUGGUGAAACCCGCACAGACCCUGUCCCUCACUUGCACGGUCUCUGGAUUAUCCAUCACAACCAGUGGUUACUGUUGGCAAUGGAUCUGCCAGCCCUCGGGAAAGGGGCUGCAGUGGAUUGGGAGGAUAUGUGCUAGUGGUGACACUUACUACAGCCCAUCCCUCAAGAGUCGCAGCUCCAUCUCUAGGGACACAGGCAAGAACCAAUUCUCUCUGCAGCUGAGCGCCUUGACUGCUGAGGACACAGCUAUGUAUUACUGUGCAAAACACACAGUGAGGGAAAGUCAGUGUGAGCCCAGAUACUAA